AUUGAACGCUGGCGGAAUGCUUUACACAUGCAAGUCGAACGGUAGAGGGGGCAACCCCUUGAGAGUGGCGAACGGGUGAGUAAUAUAUCGGAACGUGCCCAGUCGUGGGGGAUAACGUAGCGAAAGUUACGCUAAUACCGCAUACGAUCUAAGGAUGAAAGCGGGGGAUCGCAAGACCUCGCGCGAUUGGAGCGGCCGAUAUCAGAUUAGGUAGUUGGUGAGGUAAAGGCUCACCAAGCCAACGAUCUGUAGCUGGUCUGAGAGGACGACCAGCCACACUGGAACUGAGACACGGUCCAGACUCCUACGGGAGGCAGCAGUGGGGAAUUUUGGACAAUGGACGCAAGUCUGAUCCAGCCAUUCCGCGUGCAGGAUGAAGGCCCUCGGGUUGUAAACUGCUUUUGUACGGAACGAAAGGUUUGUCUUAAUACGAUGAGCUCAUGACGGUACCGUAAGAAUAAGCACCGGCUAACUACGUG
rnacentral:rRNA from 1 species